GGAAUCCUCAUCUUACUCAGGUAUAGAAAUUUACGCUAUUCCUAGAGUAGUUCUUGACAUUUGUUUUGUUGAUUAAUAUAUCUCUAUGUAUAGAAAAUUGAUUUUGUAGUCUCUUUUUCUUUUGUUAAAAUCUCAUUGUGAAUUUAAAUAAACGGUUGCAGAUCAUUUUCUACUAGACUUUAUGUGUUUUCACAGUUCCAUUAGGGCAUGUCUGUUAAAAAGAGUUAAAAGAAAUUUUUGAUCUUACAUAGAACCAAGAGCAGUAAAAUACACAAUUUUUUUUCUGACCUGCUAUCUCUCUGAUAUUUUUGCUUGCUUAAUUCCCAUGUUCUUUGUGA
rnacentral:misc_RNA from 1 species